rnacentral:rRNA from 1 species
UACGGAGGGUGCAAGCGUUAUCCGGAUUUACUGGGUUUAAAGGGUGUGUAGGCGGACUUUUAAGUCAGGGGUGAAAUCCGAGGCUCAACCUCGGAACUGCCUUUGAUACUAUUGGUCUUGAAUAUUGUGGAGGUGAGCGGAAUAUGUCAUGUAGCGGUGAAAUGCUUAGAUAUGACAUAGAACACCAAUUGCGAAGGCAGCUCACUACACAAUCAUUGACGCUGAGGCACGAAAAGCGUGGGGAUCAAACAGG